rnacentral:rRNA from 1 species
AUGAACGCUGGCGGCGUGCCUAAUACAUGCCAGUCGAGCGAACGGACGAGAAGCUUGCUUCUCUGAUGUUAGCGGCGGACGGGUGAGUAACACGUGGAUAACCUACCUAUAAGACUGGGAUAACUUCGGGAAACCGGAGCUAAUACCGGAUAAUAUUUUGAACCGCAUGGUUCAAAAGUGAAAGACGGUCUUGCUGUCACUUAUAGAUGGAUCCGCGCUGCAUUAGCUAGUUGGUAAGGUAACGGCUUACCAAGGCAACGAUGCAUAGCCGACCUGAGAGGGUGAUCGGCCACACUGGAACUGGGACACGGUCCAGACUCCUACGGGAGGCAGCAGUAGGGAAUCUUCCGCAAUGGGCGAAAGCCUGACGGAGCAACGCCGCGUGAGUGAUGAAGGUCUUCGGAUCGUAAAACUCUGUUAUUAGGGAAGAACAUAUGUGUAAGUAACUGUGCACAUCUUGACGGUACCUAAUCAGAAAGCCACGGCUAACUACGUG